CUUAAAGGAAUUGACGGGACCCGCACAAGCAGCGAGCGUGUGGUUUAAUUCGUUGCUACACGAAGAACUUACCUGGGUUUGACAUAUAGGUUGUAGGGAACUGAAAGGGACCGACCCUUCGGGGAGCCUAUACAGGUGUUGCAUGGCUGUCGUCAGCUCGUGUCGUGAGAUGUUCGGUUAAGUCCGCUAACGAGCGCAACCCUCGUCGUAUGUUAUAUGUGUCAUACGAGACUGCCGGUAAAAAGCCGGAGGAAGGUGAGGAUGAUGUCAAGUCAGCAUGACCUUUAUAUCCAGGGCUACACACACGCUACAAUGGUCUGUACAAUGGGUAGCCAAGCCGCGAGGCGGAGCCAAUCCUGAAAGCAGGCCUCAGUUCAGAUUGCAGUCUGCAACUCGACUGCAUGAAGCCGGAGUUGCUAGUAACCGCAGGUCAGCAAUACUGCGGUGAAUACGUUCCCGGGUCUU
rnacentral:rRNA from 1 species